ensembl:lncRNA
CUCCCCUCCCUGCUCCCCCUCGGUGCAGGGUGACUCCUCUGAGCUCCAGGUCGUGGAUGCUGAAUAAUUGAGCGUCUCCCUGGCUGAGGAGGAGGUCUUCGGGACGUCAGACGCGGGGAGAAGGAAGCAGUGAAUAUUUAAUAAUCCCUCAAGUAUGCAGGAGGCGCAGAACACCGUGAAUACAAAGGAGGUGUGUGUGUGCGUGCGCGCUGCGUCGUCGUAAGAGACCUGAACAGCUGUUCCAGGACGGGGGGAGAGUGGUCCUGCAACUUUAAUGUGAUUUAAAGUUCACUCCUGAUUAUAAUUGAAGCCCGAGAUCAUUACAGGAACUCUCUUAAUCAAAGUCAUCUUCCACCCUCCUGCUCCUCCUCUCCCCUCACUCGUCUUCCUCUCCCCUCUCCUCUUUCAUCAACUCUUGUCAUCCCCCUCCCUCCCCUGUCUGGCUUCUCUCCACUGGGAGUUCACAUUGCAACAAAGUGUGUGUGUGUGUGUGUGUGUGUGUGUGUGUGUGUGUGUGUGUGUGUGUGUGUGUGUGUGUGUGUGUGUGUGUGUGUAAAAGUCUAGGCUGUAACAUGCUAAUGUUAGCUGUUUGAUGUAGCGGGCCAUGCUACUCUAAGUGCUUGCUGUUUGUUGUAGCGGAUCGUGCUAGUCAGGAACAGGUUAACCGCGGGCAAAGAUGAUGUCAGCUCUACUGAAUAUUUCACAACCAAGUCAGAAAUAGAGCCCAUAUCCCAGCAUGCAUUUCAGCAAACAAAAGUUGUCCAGGAAGAGAGAGACAGAGGGUGGAGGGAUAUAUGGGGAGGGAGAGCUUUCAUUCCUGGUCCAAGUUGUGUGUUAUUUGUUGACUCGUGUGGAAGAUAAUGUACUGAUGGUCUGGUACCCUCCUACUUCCGGUCUGCUGUCACCUACUUCCUGUGCUGGGUUGGCCUGGACCCUCCGGUCAUGUAGGUUUCCAUGGUAACACAUGAAGAACCCAAAGUUUUAUAAAAUAAACAGUACCUAAAUAUGACUUGACAGCAAAUGGUUGAAAUUAUGAAUGUUAAAACACACAGGUUUAUUGAACCGGAACCAGAGUGGGUUCAGAUAAACUGGUCUGUUCGGUCUCCCGCCCAGCGGACCGGUUUGAUCCGGCUCUGAUCCGGUACCCUCAACACUACAUCUACAUCUUUUCUUGUCGGGACGAACAUGACUGUAAACAGAAAAGGAAAAACUACAAAAAAGACUGUUAAAACGACUAAUUUUAUUUUCAGAAUUUGUAAUCCAAUGUAUAUUUUAAAACAAAUAAAAUAUUUUAAUCGUAAUUGUUGUUGCCGUCGACUGGUCUGUUGAACUUUUAUUUGCCCAGCAGUAGGUGUAGUCCCGUUAGACACCACAUGGUCUCACUGUUCCCCUGAAACGCCUUGCAAUUCUAGACACUAAACUACAGAUUACUUUUAUUAGCAACUGCUUUUUGUCAUACAUUAUGUGUUUUUUAUAGAACUAGGACCCACCUUAUAGUGUAGUCGUUAAUCUCAAAUGCACCAAAUGUUGAGCAAAAU